rnacentral:rRNA from 1 species
GAUGAACGCUGGCGGCGUGCCUAAUACAUGCAAGUCGAGCGAACAGACGAGGAGCUUGCUCCUCUGACGUUAGCGGCGGACGGGUGAGUAACACGUGGAUAACCUACCUAUAAGACUGGGAUAACUUCGGGAGACCGGAGCUAAUACCGGAUAAUAUAUUGAACCGCAUGGUUCAAUAGUGAAAGACGGUUUUGCUGUCACUUAUAGAUGGAUCCGCGCCGCAUUAGCUAGUUGGUAAGGUAACGGCUUACCAAGGCAACGAUGCGUAGCCGACCUGAGAGGGUGAUCGGCCACACUGGAACUGAGACACGGUCCAGACUCCUACGGGAGGCAGCAGUAGGGAAUCUUCCGCAAUGGGCGAAAGCCUGACGGAGCAACGCCGCGUGAGUGAUGAAGGUCUUCGGAUCGUAAAACUCUGUUAUUAGGGAAGAACAAAUGUGUAAGUAAUUAUGCACGUCUUGACGGUACCUAAUCAGAAAGCCACGGCUAACUACGUG